AUGAACGCUGACGAAUGCUUAACACAUGCAAGUCAACUUGAAUUUGGGUUUUUAACUUAGAUUUGGGUGGCGGACGGGUGAGUAACGCGUAAAGAACUUGCCUCACAGCUAGGGACAACAUUUGGAAACGAAUGCUAAUACCUGAUAUUAUGAUAAUAGGGCAUCCUAUAAUUAUGAAAGCUAUAUGCACUGUGAGAGAGCUUUGCGUCCCAUUAGCUAGUUGGAGAGGUAACAGCUCACCAAGGCGAUGAUGGGUAGCCGGUCUGAGAGGGUGAACGGCCACAAGGGGACUGAGACACGGCCCUUACUCCUACGGGAGGCAGCAGUGUGAAAUAUUGGACAAUGGACCGAGAGUCUGAUCCAGCAAUUCUGUGUGCACGAUGAAUUUUGUCUGAAUGUAAAGUGCUCUCCUUUGUGAAGAAAGAAAUGACGGUACCAACAGAAGAUGUGACGGCUAAUACGUGCCAGCAGCCGCGGAUAUUCGUAUGUCACGAUCGGUAUCCUGAGUUAUUGUGCGUAUGACGCGUCUAGUUGUUAUGUAAGUCUGAUGUGAAAAGGCAGGGCUGAACGCGGAUGUGCGUUGGAAAGUGAUAACUAGAGUACGGAUAUGGUGCAGUAACUACUAUGGUGAUGUUAUAUUUGUUGAUAUGUUGAUGAUGGUCAGUGGGAGCUAGCUUAUGGUUGAAUGACGUGGCUAAGUGCGUAGAUGUGUGUGUGCAUCUUGUAUGUUAGCGGUGUGUCAAGUGUGAGAUUUCGCUGUGGAUAUGUUGC
rnacentral:rRNA from 1 species